GUGUCUCUCUCUGACUUCAGGGUAUUGCACAACAUAUCAGACAGUCUCGUUGCGGUGUAUACAACUUAUGGAUCUCAUUGCUUGGACAUCUUAAAGGCGAAUGAAACUGAUCCUGAAUGGUUAGUGACACAGAGAAAGACUGAGGUUGGUAUUAUUAAAGGAUGGAUCAGCCAGUAUUAUGCGGAUUUGGAAAAGUACAAAC
rnacentral:misc_RNA from 1 species